ensembl:lncRNA
UUUUGAACUUGUGCCAAAUGUUGACAUCUGACCAUCAUUUUCUGUGUGUUCUUGUUUUUAGGCAGAGGCAGAGGUGAAUGUGGUUUCUACCAAGGAAGCUUUGAUGAAGUGGAUGUUUGGCCGAGGAGGCAGCAGGGAAAUGGACAGGUCACAGAGCUGGGAGGAAAGAUAACUGAAGGAGUCACAUCUUGGGACAAAGAUUCUUGGUGUAAAAGCAUUUCUUCUCUGCUUUCUGCAGAGGAGAAGGCUCUCUGUACAGUUACAAGGGGUGACAUGUUUUGACAAACCAGGACAAAAAGAUGUAGGUAAGACUCUCUUGCUGUUUUGAAGUAUUUUUAUCUAGAUUUCCAUGGCAUUAGUUCUUAAGGCUCACAAAGGAUACCUUUAUUAAAAAUUCACUCAGUUACUUGCCUCGCUUCAGUAGAUGGGGUUGUAGCAUUGCUUGCAUUUAGAGUUCCAUGGUUAUUUGAGGGCUGUAUUGCAUGAAACCAAGGAUAAUAAUUACAAUCAUUAGAACUGGUUUAACUUUUUAAGUCUGUGAGUUCUCUGCAAGACAUAUAUUCUGUAUUAAGGCUACCUUAUGAAGUGAAAUUUCAAGUUAGGAAGCAGCCUAUUAACUCCUUUUCCAAAGUAGUUAGCAUCUCACAGGUGAGAAGAAAUAGAGAAAAUAGUAGAAUGUUUGCUUUUGUAUUCGAGAGCAAAGACUAAAACUAUGACUGUUCUUACUUUAGUCAUUUAUUCAGCUGGUCUUUUUGAUAAAUGACUGUCUUUCUUAAAGGGCAGUUUUCACAUAGAUCUAAAAAAUAUUUUAUAGUGGCUUUUAUUUAAUGCUUUUUAAUAAGAUGUUCACUUCAGCCUAUUAAACUAUGCUAAUGAAUCAGUGAACUAAAAUGGAUUGGAAUGGGUGAAUUUAACUCAGAUGACCAUUAUAUCUACUACUGCGGGCAGGAAUCUCUUAGAAGAAAUGGAGUAGCCAUCAUGGUCAACAAAAGAGUCUGAAAUGCAGUACUUGGAU